GCUCGGAGAUGGUGGCGUUUUUAUCGCUAUCCGCCUCGCUGCGGCCCCUGCGCAGCUCAUCGUAUUCCAGCCUCAGGUUCCGCAGUUCUUCCUCCAGCAUCAGGUGCUCCUUGGUCAGGUUCUCGCUGCGGAAACGAAAGGAGAAAGUGAGGUUGCAAGAAAAGCACCUGGCACCACGAGACAGAAGUAGUACGUUUCCCCUCCCAGACCGAUGUACAUUCGUCUUGAUCUUUACACACCCACCAACACACUCACAGUGAUGAGGCAAAAACUACUAGACAAAAGCUCAAGAAAUCUCGAGCCUCUUCCCAAUUUUCCCAUCAACCUCUUGCAUAAAGUCAGAAUGACAGGUCAUCUUUGAGCCUCAGCUUCCUCAUCUAUAAAAUAGAAUCAUUUCUUUCAAGAUUAAAAGUGUAUGAUUUCAUACAAGAUGCUCCUUUUUAUUUGUUUGUGAGGUUUUGAGUUUUGGUUUUUUUGGUACCAGGGGUUGAACCCAGAGUGCUUUACCACUGAGUGACAUCCUCAGCCUAUUUAUUUAUUUAUUUAUUUUUGUGGUGCUGGGGAUUGAACCCAGGGCCCUGUGCAUGCGAGGCAAGCAUUGUACCAGCUGAGCUAUAUCCCCAUCCCUUUAUUUCUUAUUUUGAGACCAGGGUCUUGCUAAGUUGCUAAACAUCUCACAAAAGUUGCUGAAGCUGUCCUUGAAUUGUGAUCGUCCUGCCUCAGACUCCUGAGUUGCUGGGAUUGCAGCCAGAUGUUCCUUUUAUUUCCCCCAUAAACUCAAUUCCAAUAUUAGAAAGGAGGAGUCAAUUGAGUAAUUAUUCAACAUGAAAGAUUCAAAUCCAGCUAGUCCAGGAUGUACUUACCCAAAAUUUUACACAAAGAAAUAAAGCAAAAUCCUUGACCAAACACCUAUAAAUUAUUGUUGUUUUUUUCCAGCAAAAUUAAGUGGCUGCAAUAUUGCAAAUAUCUAAAUCCAUUUAGAGGAGCAUAGGACUAAUCCCAAACUCACAAACUGUAUUACAUUGAAUUUUUACUGGAAAUUUCAGCUUUAUCAGUUUCUAAAUUCACAAUAAUGAUGUAGUAAUAAUACCAUUCUAUUCUAUUUUCUUUUCUUCUAUUUUUCCUGGUACUGGGAUUGAACCCAGGGUGCUGCAUUACUGAGCUACGUCUCCAAACCUUUUAAUUUUUGAGAUAGAAUCUCGAUAAAUUGCAAAGGCUAGUCUCAAAUUUGCAAUCCUCCUGCCUCAGUCUCCCAAGUAGCUGGGAUUACUGGCAUGCACCAUUGUGCCCGGCUCUAUUUUAUUUUUCUGAUAAUCCAAGGAAAUAGUCAAUACCUUCAGAUCUUCCAAACUCUUCAGCAUCUCACUUAAGAAUCUAUAAUAGUCUCCAGACCUUGUAAGUAGUUCUAUGUACCGAGCAUGAAUCUCUGCAGCCUUAGAGAAAAGGAAGAAAAGAAAGAAAACAUUAUAUAUAUCAUUUUAAAAAGUUAUAUGCAUUCUAUGCAGGCUGAUCAAUUUUGCUUUCUAAGAUAAUGAAAUCAUGACAUCAUAAUUUAAAAAGUAAAUUCCUUUCUUUCAUGUAUGCUUGUUCCAAAAUCUAGAAGAACAGCAAGACAAAGGGUCCAAAACAUUUAUACUCCAUUCUUGUUGCUCUAGGAUUUUUCUCCCCCUAAACCAUCUGAUGGUUGAUAUUCUCUAAAAUCUUUGGGGAAAAGUUGUCUUUUAGAAACUUACUCCCCCUAUAUAUAAUGCCCACUUUUUAGAAGUCUCCUUCACCAAACCCAGAAAUUUAAAUCCAAUUUCUGUAAAGACUAACAUAUUAAACGAUACACUCAGACUCCACUGAUCAUUUCCUAAAAUGUGUCAUGUAUUGAUGACUCACAGUGAAGGGGGCAUAACCUGCUAUUAAAACGGUUUUUUUAGUGGAUAUCCUAUAAUAGGGAUGACUUCAGGAUGAACAGGCAAGAAACAGGGAAAUGGGAGACAGAAGGAAGGGUGGACUCUCAGGGAUCUGUAACCACAUGUACCUCUUGCAGAAUCACCCCAGACGGGGACUGAACCAUGGUUCUCUUGAUAGGUAUGUUCAGUAGAGUUUCCAGGCCGGAGGUAUAUGAUGCCAGCUGGAGUUCAUAAUCCUACAGAAGAAAAGUUUAAGAAAACUUUUUUUUUUUUUUCGGCAAUGCUUGUGAUCAAGCCCGGGGCCUCAAG